GAGAGCCAAAUACAUUGAAAGGUGUACGUUUGGUUCGGAGGAGGGGUGAAGUGAACCUGCUGAGGUGACUCAGUAAGGCAACAGCUCCCUAUCCUAC
rnacentral:ncRNA from 1 species